rnacentral:rRNA from 1 species
GACAGAGGGGGCAAGCGUUGUCCGGAUUUACUGGGCGUACAGCGCGCGCAGGCGGGUGUUCAAGUCACCUGUGACAUCGUCGGGCUCAACCGGACGGGGUCAGGUGAGACUGGAUACCUGGAGGCCGAGAGAGGGAUGUGGAAUGCCCGGUGGAGCGGUGAAAUGCGUAGAGAUCGGGCGGAACACCAGUGGGGAAGCCGGCAUCCUGGCUCGGACCUGACGCUGAGGCGCGAUAGCGUGGGGAGCAAAC